UUCAAAGCCGUGUGCCGAGCUCAGUUGGGGGCCUUCAAAGCUGCCUUCUCUGUCGGCAGGUUUAGGCACAGAGAAGGCUUCUUGUUCUUCAAGGAUUUGGCUGACAAAUAACGUUGAGCUGAGGCUAAGGCAACGAGCUUCCACGCUGACAGGACGGUCGUUGUACUAAUGUGCUUCGAAGCAAUUUCUACGUUUACCUUGAUUGUGUCCCGGAGACCCGCACUAUCCUCUGCUGCCAGAAGCCGCUGAGGAAAAUAUCGCCGCAACUUGAACUGGCAGAAUGGAGGACACUUACCAUGGCAACGACUAAUGCAGUAUAGAUGCAAGGACUGAGCCUUGUCUGUUGCUGCAAUAAUACAAGAUUCAUUAAAGCCAGGUGAAAUGCCA